rnacentral:rRNA from 1 species
GAUGAACGCUGGCGGCGUGCUUAACACAUGCAAGUCGAACGAAGCACUUUAUUUGAUUUCCUUCGGGACUGAUUAUUUUGUGACUGAGUGGCGGACGGGUGAGUAACGCGUGGGUAACCUGCCUUGUACAGGGGGAUAACAGUUGGAAACGGCUGCUAAUACCGCAUAAGCGCACAGCAUCGCAUGAUGCAGUGUGAAAAACUCCGGUGGUAUAAGAUGGACCCGCGUUGGAUUAGCUAGUUGGUGAGGUAACGGCCCACCAAGGCGACGAUCCAUAGCCAACCGGGGAGGGUGACCGGCCACAUGGGGACGGAGACACGGCCAAACCUCCUACGGGAGGCAGCAGGGGGGAAUAUUGAAAAGGGGGAAAAGGCCUGAUGCAGCGAGGCCGGGGGAGCAAAGAAGUUUUGGGGUAUGAAACGCUUUAUAAGCAGGGAAGAAAAGGAGGGACCCUGACAAAAAGCACCCGGCUAAAUAGGGC